CCUACGGGUGGCAGCAGUCGAGAAUCAUUCACAAUGGGGGAAACCCUGAUGGUGCGACGCCGCGUGGGGGAAUGAAGGUCUUCGGAUUGUAAACCCCUGUCAUGUGGGAGCAAAUUAAAAAGAUAGUACCACAAGAGGAAGAGACGGCUAACUCUGUGCCAGCAGCCGCGGUAAUACAGAGGUCUCAAGCGUUGUUCGGAAUCACUGGGCGUAAAGCGUGCGUCGGCUGUUUCGUAAGUCGUGUGUGAAAGGCGCGGGCUCAACCCGCGGACGGCACAUGAUACUGCGAGACUAGAGUAAGGGAGGGGGAACCGGAAUUCUCGGUGUAGCAGUGAAAUGCGUAGAUAUCGAGAGGAACACUCGUGGCGAAGGCGGGUUCCUGGACAUUAACUGACGCUGAGGCACGAAGGCCAGGGGAGCGAAAGGGAUUAGAUACCCGGGUAGUC
rnacentral:rRNA from 1 species